UAGAUAGAGGCGCGGUUCGCAUCAGUACCCACUGGCAAGGCAGGGUAGCCGUCAGAGGGGAAAGGGCUCGCCGCCGAAGCGGAAAACGAUCACCCCUUCGUCUCCGCUGGGCCGUCAGAGAACAUCUGCCGGACUGUCACAAGACUUUGUGAAGCGCUAUCA
rnacentral:ncRNA from 1 species